rnacentral:lncRNA from 1 species
AAAUGGGCCUUGGUGAUUACGAAGCCCUUCAUGGUGGCUCCGAGGUCGUGCCGAUGAGGCAUCAGGCAGCAAGCAGCAGUGAUGUCCAUUUAAACGAGACCCGGGCUCCCAGAUUGGUCCCAGUACAUCCUGCCGUGGCCCCGGAUUCGUAGAGGCUUGUACGAGUCUGCUAGGGGGGCCAUCAAAAAGACCAGACUGGUUCCAACAACAGAAACCGGGAGUCUGAGGUCAAGGUGAGGACAGGUUUUGUUUUUUUUUUUUUUAACUUAAAAAAAUGUUUAUUUUUGAAGGAGAGACAGAGCGUGAGCAAGGGAGGGGCAGAGAGAGGGGGAGACGCAGAAUCCGAAACGGGCUCCAGGCUCUGAGCUGUCAGCACAGAGCUCGAUGUGGGGCUGGAACCCAUGAACCGCGAGAUGGGUGACCUGAGCCGAAGUCGGAUGCUUAACCGACUGUGCCACCGGGGGCGCCCCAAAGGCCAUUUAUACCUUAAAUGCAUCCAUGUUCCCUGGAAAGGUUGACUCAAAUCACCAAAACAUACGAUCAAAACUGCAUUUGUGUAAAACCCACCAGGUUCUUUAUAAAAGGGCCCCCCCAAACAGAAAGGUGUUACUAUUUUCCUUCUAACAGCUCUUUAUCCUUACGGGGCUAACAGAUCGGGCGAUCGGACGAUCCGGCUAGGACAACUCUGGAAAAUGUUGGAUCAGAUGGGCUGUGCCUAAUCAUGCUCCGGUCCUCUCUCUGAUCACUUGAGCCAGGCCAUCGGGUGGCCCCGGGUGAGGCGAGGAAAUCCGCUGGGUGCCACAUAGAAGCAUCUAGACGGAAAAGUCCCAGUCUCUGAGGCUGCGAAGUUGGAGACAUCUACAAAACCUCUCUGGAAGAGGCUGGUCAGUGGGUGAAGACACGAGGGAGAGAGCCUGAGACACAAAAGAUCACAGCCUCAGAAAUGUUCACUUUUCUUCUUUUAAACAGCUUUACUGAGAUACAAUUCACAUCCCAUACAACUCACCCAUUUAAAGUGUAUAAAUUGAAGGCUUUAUAUAAUAUAAUUCACAGAUGGAAGCAACAAUCAUCACAGUCAACUCUAUUUAUUUGUUUGUUUAUUUAUUUAUUUAUUAAAUAGUUUUAGGGGUGCCUGGCGGGCUCAGUCAGUUGAGGGUCCAACUUUGGCUCAGGACACGAUCUCAGAGUUCGUGAGUUGGAACCCUG